rnacentral:lncRNA from 1 species
CCGAGGAACCGAGGACCUCAGCAGUGAGAUAGCUGCUUCAGAGUCUGUAGAGCUUCAGCCAGAGGUGAGUGGAAUGAACCUUAAGUUUUUAAAUAAAUGAAAUAUAACUUUUUGGAGCAUGUUCAUGCUUCAUAUAUGCCAUGUGAUAUUUUAGGUUGUUUGCAUUAGUAUUCACGAAUAUAUUGCAUUGCAUAAUAUGAUGUGGAUGCGGAUUGGCUAUUGGAUGAUCCUCUAGUCCUCCUAUGGUAUGAUAUGAUGAUGAUACGGUAUGGAUUGCCAGUGAGGCCCAUUCUACGCCCCUGGACUAUGUUAAGAGAAAGACCAGUGAGGUCCAUUCUACGCCCCUGGCAUAUUGGAAUGUUAUGUUAUGUUAUGUAUGUAAGAAAAAGACCAGUGAGGCCCAUUCUACGCCCCUGGCACGAUUGGACUAUGUUGAGGACUAUAGGUGACAAUACCAUCCUUAUGUGAUAUGUUUGUGAUGUGUUGCAUUUCAUGGAAGCAUGAAAUAUUUAAUAUAUGUUUUCUCUAUUCUGCUCACUGGGCUUUAUAGCUCACCCCUCUCCCCUAACCCCAGAUGUGCAGGUGCAGGGUAGAUCAGGAGGUUAGCCAGAGCAUGGAAGAUAUGUUUAUGUAAUAGUUAGAUUGUGGACAUGACAAUUGUAUUAUGAUGUAAUGUAAAAGUGUUUUAAGUUAUGUUAUGUAAUUUGAAUAUUGAGGAUAGAGUUGUGCUUGACCAAUGCAGAUUGUUAAUCCCACUUGUAUGUACAUGGUCUUUAUGAUAUGAGAUAUGAGGU